rnacentral:rRNA from 1 species
AUGCUAGGAGAACCGGAACAUCACAGAGUACUACUGACUAACCCCAAAACAGAGCAUCACAGCAAAAAACUUCACCAGGGGCCAUCCAUACACUUAACCCACCAUCUCGAGAUAUUAAUUCUCAUGGGUAAAAAGCAAGAAAGAAGAACAGAUCGCCUAGGGCGUGGUCUGCUUGUACUUGGGCACCUCAGUGAGCAUCUUGUCCGCACUAGAGUCACCAUGUUGCCUAUAAUUCGAUCAAGACAAAUACAAUCAGUAUCAGGAUCAAAGGUUCGGAACAAGAAUAGUGCAGGCAUUUGUGCUACAAAAACAAGGAGAUGA